GUUUUCGAAAAUUGAAUUCUCGCUUAUCCCACUCCAGGCAAACAACGAAAUUUUUGAGAUCAGUGAGAUGACCACCCAUGCACAUACGCUUACCUGCCUCGUACCCAGGCAUCUCUUUGUAAAAAAACAGUGAUGCGCAUGUGACGAGUUUACAUGAAGUAUUGUAGUGGGGAGAGAUGGGCGAAGGGGCUGAUGGGAAGAGUGUACUUGAAAUGCGAGACGCCUGGUAGUUCUUGGUCGAUUUCUUGCAACAAAGUACGAUUUCUUGCAAGUUGUGAUAUUUCGUUGUCGUUUACGAUUUUUUGCUACUUUGUUUUUAUUGUAUUGACCAAUGUUGAUAUUCUUCUGUCAUCUGGGCGUGAAUUCAUGCUGUUAUUCUUGGUAUAUAUGACAUAAGCCUUAUUUAAAGUCCUGGAAUAUUAACAUGUCAACAACCGAAGCUUUCAAGAACUAGACUUGCACAGCAGGAAGUAGAUUUGUAAGCUAUAACUAUAUAAAGGCACACAUACUAUGAAUUAAAUUGCACUGUUGUAAUAAAUAUUUCAAACUUUACGGUUGUGAACUUUUAUUUACUUGGGCUAUUGUUUACAGUAUACAUGUAACAGAAAAUUAGAAAUUGCCAUUGGCAUUGUGAUCGAGCCUUCAGCUAAAGAAAUUAUUAAUACAAAAGCAAUUAUAUGACUCUCUAAUCAUUUCUCUGUUACUAUUUUAUACUAAGCAACUGAUAGCAUUCCAUUAUUCUCCAUAUAAUACCGAAUGACAUUAUAUAUUCGAAAUAUUGGGAUGGUUAACUUGCCAUAUGUAAUUUACUCAUAAGUUUUCGCGCAUUUUGCAUGUCAUCAAACAUCUACAAUUUUUUUUAUUAUUUGCCAAUGGCGUUCAAUUUGACUCCCCACUAAAAAGUAAGGUUCUACUUCACGAUUGGUUAUUUUCGUUAAGGAGUCACGUGAGAUAUGCGCGCGAAGCAAGCUAGAUCACUUGCAAGCGAAACGUUGCGAAGAACACACGUAGCAAAAUUUUAUC